CCUACGGGAUGCUGCAGUGAGGAAUAUUGGUCAAUGGGCGGGAGCCUGAACCAGCCAAGUCGCGUGAGGGAAGAUGGUCCUAUGGAUUGUAAACCUCUGUAGGCGGGGAGCAAUGACGGGCACGCGUGCCCGGAGGGAGAGUACCCGCAGAAUAAGCAUCGGCUAACUCCGUGCCAGCAGCCGAGGUAAUACGGAGGAUUCGAGCGUUAUCCGGAUUCAUUGGGUUUAAAGGGGGCGUAGGCGGAUUUUAAUGUAAGCGGUAAAAGGUCCGGGCUCAACCCGGGCCGGCCGUUGAAACUGGGGAGCUUGAGUGGGGGAGAAGUAUGCGGAAUGCGUGGUGUAGCGGUGAAAUGCGUAGAUAUCACGCAGAACUCCGAUUGCGAAGGCAGCAUACCGGCGCCCGACUGACGCUGAGGCACGAAAGCGUGGGGAUCGAACAGGAUUAGAUACCCCUGUAGUC
rnacentral:rRNA from 1 species